GAUGGUAGGGUAACGGCUCACCAAGGCCAUGAUGUUUAGGGGACCUGAGAGGGUUGUCCCCCACACUGGUACUGAGACACGGACCAGACUCCUACGGGAGGCAGCAGUGAGGAAUAUUGGUCAAUGGGUGCAAGCCUGAUCCAGCCAUCCCGCGUGAAGGAAGAAUGCCCUACGGGUUGUAAACUUCUUUUCCAGGGGGAGAAUUUUCCUGUCGAGACAGGGAUUGAGGGUACCAUGGGAAUAAGCAUCGGCUAACUCCGUGCCAGCAGCCGCGGUAAUACGGAGGAUGCGAGCGUUAUCCGGAUUUAUUGGGUUUAAAGGGUGCGUAGGCGGCUUGAUAAGUCAGUGGUGAAAUUUUGCAGCUUAACUGUAGACUUGCCGUUGAUACUGUUAGUCUUGAGUGUGGUCAAGGCAGGCGGAAUGUGUAAUGUAGCGGUGAAAUGCUUAGAUAUCACGCAGAACACCGAUUGCGAAGGCAGCUCACAAAGUCAAUAUUGACGCUGAGGCACGAAAGCGUGGGGAUCAAACAGGAUUAGAUACCCUGGUAGUCCACGCCGUAAACUAUGAUCACUCGCUGUCGGCGAUACACGGUCAGCGGCCAAGCAAAAGC
rnacentral:rRNA from 1 species